rnacentral:lncRNA from 1 species
ACCUAGCCCAACACCACGCUGGCCCCGCGCGUGGACCAGCGCAGCACCGCCUUGAAGUGGUGUUUCACAGCAGGGCUGUAGGGACACCAGCCGCCAUGAUCGGUCAGCCAUUCCUACACCACUAGGGUCCAAGGCUGAGGUCUGGAGCAUGAAGUGCCCUGAGAUGCUCCCUUCCCCGUCCUUGCACACCCGGCCUCGGGCGCCACCGCCUCCCGGGAAGCCUCAGCUGUGGUUCAUGGGGGAGUCUGCAGUCGCUUAGGCACCGGGACGCGGACCCGUAGCUGCCCGCCUCCAACUGUGCUCCACCGCCCCUGUCGCUGCCGCUGCUCCGAGGGGUCCAGCGGCUUCAUGCAAAAAACCUGACCCUGCACAUUCGCCGCCCGCCUUGCAAAGCCACCCAGGGCGCACGGCCCAAGCGCGACGCAGCACCCGCCUCGCACCAGUUGAGCCUCGCUGGAGUUGCAUGGUCACGCCCUCCGUCCUCUCUCCGCUGGGAGCCAGGCAACGGCGGUGGCACAGCUCCCUCCCUGGGGCUCCGCUCAGAGGCUUCCAGGUGUCUCCCCUCCCCGGAAGAACGCCAAGGCCUGGUGCCCACAGAAGUCUGGAGAAAGCAUCAGAUCCCCUGAACUGGAGUUACUAGUAUUUACUAACCACCGUGCGAAUGCAGAAGACCAAACCCAGUUCCUCUGCAACAGCAACAGGCAUUUAAUCCUGUCUCCUCCUCUUAUACAACAUCCUGGAGCUUUGGAGUCAGCUGUGGCUGAGCACUGCACAGACAUUUGUUCUCUGCAUCUUGACAAGUUGUAAGUCUCUGCAGUAACUGCUGCACACUGUCAAAAGGAGCUUCUCUGACAGGGAUUGAAAGCUGGUUUCGCCUAUGGGCAUAGAGCCAGCACGUGAUGAGACGCUUCUCCUACUCUCUGUCAUCUCCCAAGGAGAUAUUCUUGAAGCACAAUUCAAAUCCAGUGCAGCCACUGUGGUAAUCCAUCAAAUCUAAGACAAAACGCAAAAUGAACAUAAAUGAAUCUUUAUAAAUGAACAUCUAUGUGAGUCAAGAUAGUAGUAUUGUGUUGAAGCACACCCAUUCUGAGGCUUUUCAGAGUUCUAACCCAGGACAUGCAUAUAAGUUAGCUUAUCUGGACAAAAGAACUUUGUAGAUAUAAUAGGGGAUCAAGAAAUGAGAUCACUAUGAGCUAUGUGGCUCUAAAUCUAACUACAAGUACCUUCUCAAUUACAGGAAAAACAAAAGAUAAAAUAAGGGGAGGAAGUUAAUGAGAAUGGAGGUAAAGAUGGAGUUUCGUCCUGAUCAACCUGCCAUUAAUUGAUAAUAUUGAAAGUCUGACAUGCAUGCUGGUGCUUUGGUGCCAUCUCUGGAGCAAGGAGCCAAAGGAAGGGCUGGUCAUAGCUUUCUGUCCCUCUCUGCUAUCCUUACUGCUGCGUUCUAGCCCUGCUUUGUCAGCAUCUCCGUAUUCCCCGGCUCCUGUGCAGGAAUAUUGUUCUAAACUUCUGAUUUCCCCAGUGAUCGAGUUGGGGAAAAGCAUUAGAGUCAACUGAUUUACGUGAAAUUUGCAGUGGGGAAGGGAAAGCAAUGAGAAAAUUAUGAAUGAGAGCUCAUGAAAGGUUUCAAGUUGCUGUUGUAGGAUGUUGUGCUAUGUGCUUCACUUCUCCACCUCAGAAGGCACCCUCCUGUUUACCAUCGGCUUCCAGUGGACGUGUAGUGUAUAUCCUUAGUUGCCCUCUGCAUAAACUCGCAAAAGCAACCCAGAAUCGGAACCGGAAAGUCCUGCUGUGCUUGAACUGAACGCUUGUGGGUACAUUCACGGGUUAUUUCCAACACAAUGUCUCCGCCUGCAGGAAAAAAGCAGCAAGUACACCCUUAAAACUAGUAAAAAAAAAAUAAAGGAGCCAGGAUUCUGUG